UAGUGCAAUAAUUAAUUUUACUGUAUUUAAAUUAAUUGUAUUUUACUGUAUUUUAAUUUAAUCUCUAAUACACUUAUAUAAUGAAUAGUUGCUAGUGAAGGAUAAGGGACUGUGUGAUCACGUUACUCAGGGUGUAAUUUUCUUGUGGCAGUAAUUAUCUACAUGGCAUUUAUGGCUUUAUAUAAAUGCAUUCAUGACUAUAAAAAAAAAAAAAAAACUAUGCCAAGACCCAUAUGUAAAGCUGGUGAAAAAAGAACAGUGUUUAUUUAAAAUAGAAACCAUUUGGAACACAAUUAAUGCAUUUACUGUCACUUUUGAUCUAUUUAAUGCAUGCUUUCUGUAUACAAGUUUUCAUUUCUAAAACAAGAAUCACCUUGUUGACACCAAACUUUUAAAAUUUAAUGUAAUGCAUAGAUUUCAAAUCCAUAAAAAUAAUCACUGAUGUACGAAUUUAUAUUUAAAUUUUACUUACUGUAGCUUAACUGCUGUGGAGUGUCAGGAAACAUCCAGGUUGCUCCUGAUGAGACCUGCCCUGAAAAAGAGGUGCUCGAUGCUCUCAUUACAAAGGUCUGAUUAUGGAGUGCUUUUACUCCAGCUUACCUCAGAUUUCAUGCACUGGAAAUGUUUCUGUCCUGAGGCUCCCUGCGUACGGCUCAGUUUGAAUGAAUCAGUGAUUAAACUAUACCAAAGUUAAAAAGAACAGCAUUUAUUCAAAGUAGAAAUCUUUUCUAACAAUAUAAAUCUUUUCUAUCACUUCUUAUUAAUUUAACACAUCCUUGCUGAAUGAAAGUUUUAAUUUCUUUAAAAAAAAAGAAAUAAUAAAAAUUUACUGACCCCCAAACUUUUGAAUGGUAGUGUAUAUUGUUAAAAAAGAUUUCUAUUUUGAAUAAAUGCUGUUCUUUUUAACUUUUUAUUCAUCAAAGAAUCCUGAAAAAAGUAUCACAGCUUCCAAAAAAUAUUUGGCUGUUGCCAACAUUGAUAAUUCUAAUAAUAAAUCAGCAUAUUAGAAUGAUUUCUGAAGGAUCAUGUGACACUUUUAUACUGGAGUCAUGAUGCUGGAAAUUCAGCUUUGCAUCACAGAUAUAAAUUAUAUUUGAAAGGAUAUUUAAAUAGAAACCAUUAUUUUAUAUUUCGGAUAACAUUUUUAGCAAGAUUUACUAGUUUUUUUUUUUUUUUUUUUUGUCUAUUUUUUGUCUAUUUUUUGUCUACAAAUAAAUACAGCCUUGAUGAGCAUAUGGCACUUCUUUAAAAAAACAUUACAAGUCUUACUGAUCCCAAACUUUUGACUGGUAGUGUAUAUAUAAUAGUGCAAUAAUUAAUUUUACUGUAUUUAAAUUAAUUGUAUUUUACUGUAUUUUAAUUUAAUCUCUAAUACACUUAUAUAAUGAAUAGUUGCUAGUGAAGGAUAAGGGACUGUGUGAUCACGUUACUCAGGGUGUAAUUUUCUUGUGGCAGUAAUUAUCUACAUGGCAUUUAUGGCUUUAUAUAAAUGCAUUCAUGAACUAUAAAAAAAAAAAAACUAUAGCCAAGACCCAUAUGUAAAGACUGGCAAAGGUGAACUAUUCCUUCAAUACUACAGAU
rnacentral:lncRNA from 1 species